rnacentral:rRNA from 1 species
CCCGGACGGGAUCACUUCUCGAGUGCCUAUCGCGGGUGACGUUGAGCCUUACGGCCUUCGUUGCUUGUGUUGUUGGUGCUUUUUGGGUGUACUUUUCCGUAUGGUAGGUCAGCAUCGAUUUCGAACGUCAUAAAAUGAUCGGGGGAAUGUAGCUUCGGUCUCGUAUCGGAGUGUUAUAGACCUUGGUAGAUGUGACGAUUGGGAUCGAGGAUUGCAACGAAUACCCUUUUGGGCUAUCCGUCUGGCCUCUGAAAGUCGCUCGGGUGUCGAAAGCGUGCUUACGGCUAUCCGAGUUGGCGGUCAACAGGUUAGAACGUGAUUACAUUCGUUAAGGAUGUUGACGUAA